CCUCGACGACCUCUACCACCGCCACGACCACGACCGGCGGCCAUUAGCACCAAAAUCAGCAAUACAAGCGAAAACGCCAUUUUUCCUACAUUAAAAUAAGCCAUACAUGAACAAAAUCUUGAAAAAAUCUGUAAAAAUAGCGAAAAAAUAUCUAAUAUUCUUAUAAUGCAUACUAACGCUAUUUCAAACUCAUUCAUGCAAAAAAAAAUUUCAACAAAAAUUGAUAUUUCAACAAAAAUCCCGAAAUUCCAUAUAU
rnacentral:lncRNA from 1 species